CCCGGCGACCGGCGCACGGGUGAGUAACACGUAUGCAACCUGCCCUCUUCAGGGGGACAACCUUCCGAAAGGGAGGCUAAUCCCGCGUAUAUCGGUUUCGGGCAUCCGAGAUCGAGGAAAGAUUCAUCGGAAGAGGAUGGGCAUGCGGCGCAUUAGCUAGACGGCGGGGUAACGGCCCACCGUGGCGACGAUGCGUAGGGGUUCUGAGAGGAAGGUCCCCCACACUGGUACUGAGACACGGACCAGACUCCUACGGAAGGCAGCAG
rnacentral:rRNA from 1 species